UCUCCUUUGACACCUUUCCUUCCACCAUUUUCCAUCUCUCUCUAUAUAGACACAAAGUUGUUUACCCAAAAGAAAUGGAGACAGAUGGACAUGAGCAGCAAGCUAGACAAGCCGCCGCCGCCACCACUUGACAGAUAAGGGAAAAGGGAUCGGCUGCUACUGGAUGCCAGCCAUACAGUAAGUUGAAUGGUUUGGUGUUAUAGAACGGCAUCAGUUAUCAUGGUUUGUAUAACAUUAUUUGUUCUUGUUUUGCCACCAUUUCUGCCACCCUUAUCGCCUCCUCCCUUGAUUUUUCUAUUUAUACCAGUCAUGAUUAUGUCUGCUCUAAUCAUGUUGGCCUUUUGUCCAGCACAUGUCACAAAUAUUACUACCAGCUAAUGCUAUUUCUCAUUAGAUAUAUACUCUGACAAACUUGAGAGUGGUGAAUACCCUCACAGACUGUAAUAUAUUAGCUUUGCGGUGGAGAUAACAUGGCAUUGGAUCUGGAAACCCUUAAGGUAAUAUUAUUUGCUUCUUUUUAAAAAAAAAAAAGAAAAAAAGUUAUGUUGAAUAACUAAGACAUCUAGUGUUUGAAGCAUAUUUUUCUUUGAUUCGUUUGUUUAUACAACUACAGGAAUGAGAGAAAUUUUUCUUCCUUUUUAUUUCUUGUGGCAAAAGUCCUAGUAAUCCACACUUGAUUUUCUUUUUAUCUGAUCAGAAAAUACUAAAACAUUGAUAAAUGGUGACUUAGUCUAACUGCAAGAUGAGAUCACUUUUGAAAAACAGGAUUCAAAUCUCAUUGAUCUAAAAGAAGGCCUAACAAGACAUUCACAUACGAGGGAGAAAUGGCAAUAUUUUGAAACUAUUCAUUUGCUGCUCAAGUUAGCAUUUAUAGGGAUUUCUCCUUGUUGAUGGUGAUUAAAUAAUUGAAUUGUUUCUUGGUCAAAAGAAGAUGAGAUAGAUGUUAUGGUACCCACUAUGUCAUAUUUGAAAGUUGAAUUAGUCGUGGUCAUAGCAAGAUGGUAUGAGUCGCUAGCAAUGGCCUAGGUUGCACCGAAGAAGGGUAAUAUUUUUGUGGCAUAAGCAUUUUGAAACAAAAUGUUUUGAGACUUUUAAAUACGUUUUGAGAAUUUAAGAAAAAAUUGUAUUGUCAUUAUUUUUUAAGUUAAUUUUAUGAUGUAUCUAUAAAUCUGAC
rnacentral:lncRNA from 1 species